GUGGGUGAAAGCCUGCUGUGGCACCCUCUCACACUCCCUGAAGGGCACCUUUCAUCUGGAGAGUAAAGAGAGUGCCUCCCCCCAGAACCGAGAAAGUGGCCGAGCAGCUUGGAUCUCCUCCAGCAUAUUCAGGCCAAAAAACGGUGCAGUGUCCCAGUGUUCAUUGAGGAAACCAAAUGCGCACACACAGCAGCACCCAGGCGACCCGCCUCCGAGGCCGGGUCUGCAGGUGCAAGCUCCAAUUAGAGCAGCCGGCUUCCAAUACCUUUUCAUCCGGAACAACGGCUGGGACUCAGCCCCCGCCAGGGACUGAGGAAAACCCCGGAAGGACUGCCGACCAGCCCAGGGAAAACAAAGACCGUCCAAAUAAAAGCAGAUCCUAGAAGGCUAGAAAGGUGGAGAAGCUGAUACAGAGCUUUAAGUUUCCUCUAUAAUCAAGCCAGCUUGCUCCACAGAAGUGCUUCAGGGGAAGACGGAUUUCUCUGCAGACAAGUCACCUCCUGAUGGGCUCUCAGGGCUGCUGGGCCACCACCCCCCUCAGUUAGGAGCUGCUUCCUCCCCUUCCUGACAGUCUUUCUUGUUUUUAAUAUCUAAAUCUCCAAACAAGUGCCAACAAUUAGAAAGG
rnacentral:lncRNA from 1 species